CCUAGAGUUGUAGGCUUUGCCUGCUAUCUCUUACCCAUGUCUUUUGAGUACCUUCGUUUCCUCGGCGGGUCCGCCCGCCGAUUGGACAAUUUAAACCAUUUGUAGUUGCAAUCAGCGUCUGAAAAACUUAAUAGUUA
rnacentral:misc_RNA from 1 species